GGAGGUAAAAGUCGUAACAAGGUCUCCGUUGGUGAACCAGCGGAGGGAUCAUUACCGAGUGCAAACUCAUAACCCUUUGUGAACCUAUAUCUGUUGCUUCGGCGGCUCGCUCUCGGGCGAGCCCGCCGGUAAUAUCAGUAUCUCUGUUUGAACCCGACGAUACUUCUGAGUGUUCUUAGCGAACAGUUAAAACUUUUAACAACGGAUCUCUUGGCUCUA
rnacentral:misc_RNA from 1 species